rnacentral:rRNA from 1 species
AACGCUAGCUACAGGCUUAACACAUGCAAGUCGCGGGGUAACGAGAGGGAAGCUUGCUUUCCUUGUCGACGACCGGCGCACGGGUGAGUAACGCGUAUCCAACCUGCCCAUUACCACGGGAUACCCCGUCGAAAGGCGGCCUAAUACCGUAUGCAGUCGUCAGAUGACAUCAGAGGACGACGAAAGGAUUGGCGGUAAUGGAUGGGGAUGCGUCUGAUUAGGUAGUUGGAGGGGUAACGGCCCACCAAGCCAUCGAUCAGUAGGGGUUCUGAGGGGAAGGUCCCCCACAUUGGAACUGAGACACGGUCCAAACUCCUACGGGAGGCAGCAGUGAGGAAUAUUGGUCAAUGGGCGCGAGCCUGAACCAGCCAAGUAGCGUGAGGGAUGACGGCCCUAUGGGUUGUAAACCUCUUUUAUGCAGGAAUAAAAUGUUUGACGUGUCAUACAUUGUAGGUACCGCAAGAAUAAGGACCGGCUAAUUCCGUGCCAGCAGCCGCGGUAAUACGGAAGGUCCAGGCGUUAUCCGGAUUUAUUGGGUUUAAAGGGAGCGUAGGCCGCAAGUCAAGCGUGUUGUGAAAUGCAGGGGCUCAACCUCUGGAUUGCAGCGCGAACUGGCAUGCUUGAGUACGCACGAGGUAGGCGGAAUUUGUGGUGUAGCGGUGAAAUGCUUAGAUAUCACGAAGAACUCCGAUUG